AGCUUUGCGCAGUGGCAGUAUCGUAGCCAAUGAGGUUUAUCCGAGGCGCGAUUAUUGCUAAUUGAAAAAAAAGAAUAAAGUUUAGAAGACCCGUACUAUGUGAUUUCAGAACGUAUUAUAAAGCUGCAGUAACUGAGACACUGUGGUAGU
ensembl:snRNA U4 U4 spliceosomal RNA